GACGAACGCUGGCGGCGUGCUUAACACAUGCAAGUCGAACGGAAAGGCCCUGCUUUUGUGGGGUGCUCGAGUGGCGAACGGGUGAGUAACACGUGAGUAACCUGCCCUUGACUUUGGGAUAACUUCAGGAAACUGGGGAUAAUACCGGAUAGGAGCUCCUGCUGCAUAGGGGGGGUUGGAAAGUUUCGGCGGUUGGGGAUGGACUCGCGGCUUAUCAGCUUGUUGGUGGGGUAGUGGCUUACCAAGGCUUUGACGGGUAGCCGGCCUGAGCGGGUGACCGGCCACAUUGGGACUGCGAUACGGCCCAGACUCCUACGGGAGGCAGCAGUGGGGAAUAUUGCACAAUGGGCGGAAGCCUGAUGCAGCAACGCCGCGUGCGGGAUGACGGCCUUCGGGUUGUAAACCGCUUUCGCCUGUGACGAAGCGUGAGUGACGGUAAUGGGUAAAGAAGCACCGGCUAACUACGUG
rnacentral:rRNA from 1 species